UAUUAAAAUUUUUAUCCAUUUUUAUUAUUAGAAACUUGUGUGGCCGAUAAAAUAUACAUGACGUAUAAUGGGUACCUCAUUUUAAUGUACAAAGACCAGUUUUUAAUAGUUAAAAUAGAUGAAAUUUUUAACU
rfam:Gossypium hirsutum cultivar TM-1 chromosome 13, whole genome shotgun sequence